rnacentral:rRNA from 1 species
UACGGGGGGGGCAAGCGUUGUUCGGAAUUACUGGGCGUAAAGGGCGCGUAGGCGGCCUUCUAAGUCAGACGUGAAAUCCCCAGGCUUAACUUGGGAACUGCGUCUGAUACUGGAUGGCUUGAGUUCGGGAGAGGGAUGCGGAAUUCCAGGUGUAGCGGUGAAAUGCGUAGAUAUCGGAAGGAACAUCAGUGGCGAAAGCGACUUCCUGGACCAAUACUGACGCUCAUGUGCGAAAGCGUGGGGAGCAAACAGG